rnacentral:rRNA from 1 species
UACGUAGGGUGCGAGCGUUGUCCGGAAUUAUUGGGCGUAAAGAGCUCGUAGGCGGUCUGUCGCGUCGAUCGUGAAAACUUGGGGCUUAACCUUGAGCUUGCGGUCGAUACGGGCAUGACUGGAGUUCGGCGGGGGAGACUGGAAUUCCUGGUGUAGCGGUGAAAUGCGCAGAUAUCAGGAGGAACACCGGUGGCGAAGGCGGGUCUCUGGGCCGUAACUGACGCUGAGGAGCGAAAGCGUGGGGAGCGAACAGG